rnacentral:rRNA from 1 species
GAUGAACGCUGGCGGCGUGCCUAAUACAUGCAAGUCGAGCGAACGGACGAGAAGCUUGCUUCUCUGAUGUUAUCGGCGGACGGGUGAGUAACACGUGGAUAACCUACCUAUAAGACUGGGAUAACUUCGGGAAACCGGAGCUAAUACCGGAUGAUAUUUUGAACCGCAUGGUUCAAAAGUGAAAGACGGUCUUGCUGUCACUUAUAGAUGGAUCCGCGCUGCAUUAGCUAGUUGGUAAGGUAACGGCUUACCAAGGCAACGAUGCAUAGCCGACCUGAGAGGGUGAUCGGCCACACUGGAACUGAGACACGGUCCAGACUCCUACGGGAGGCAGCAGUAGGGAAUCUUCCGCAAUGGGCGAAAGCCUGACGGGGCAACGCCGCGUGAGUGAUGAAGGUCUUCGGAUCGUAAAACUCUGUUAUUAGGGAAGAACAUAUGUGUAAGUAACUGUGCACAUCUUGACGGUACCUAAUCAGAAAGCCACGGCUAACUACGUG